AUUGAACGCUGGCGGCAGGCUUAACACAUGCAAGUCGAGCGGGGUGAUGGUGCUUGCACUAUCACUUAGCGGCGGACGGGUGAGUAAUGCUUAGGAAUCUGCCUAUUAGUGGGGGACAACAUCUCGAAAGGGAUGCUAAUACCGCAUACGUCCUACGGGAGAAAGCAGGGGAUCUUUAUGACCUUGCGCUAAUAGAUGAGCCUAAGUCGGAUUAGCUAGUUGGUGGGGUAAAGGCCUACCAAGGCGACGAUCUGUAGCGGGUCUGAGAGGAUGAUCCGCCACACUGGGACUGAGACACGGCCCAGACUCCUACGGGAGGCAGCAGUGGGGAAUAUUGGACAAUGGGGGGAACCCUGAUCCAGCCAUGCCGCGUGUGUGAAGAAGGCCUUAUGGUUGUAAAGCACUUUAAGCGAGGAGGAGGCUCUUUUGGUUAAUACCCAGAAUGAGUGGACGUUACUCGCAGAAUAAGCACCGGCUAACUCUGUGCCAGCCGCCGCGGUAACAC
rnacentral:rRNA from 1 species